rnacentral:rRNA from 1 species
UAGCGAAAUUCCUUGUCGGGUAAGUUCCGACCCGCACGAAAGGUGUAACGAUCUGCGUACUGUCUCGGAGAGAGACUCGGCGAAAUAGACUUGUCUGUGAAGAUGCGGACUACCUGCACCUGGACAAAAAGACCCUAUGAAGCUUUACUGUAGCUUGAUAUUGGCUCCGGGCUUUGUUUGCGCAGGAUAGGUGGGAGGCGUUGAAAAUUUUCUUGCGGGAAAAUUGGAGCCAUUGGUGAGAUACCACUCUAACAAUGCUAGGAUUCUAACCCUAUACCGUUAUCCGGUUAGGGGACAGUUUCAGGUGGUCAGUUUGACUGGGGCGGUCGCCUCCCAAAAGGUAACGGAGGCGUGCAAAGGUUUCCUCAGGCUGGUCGGAAAUCAGUCGUAGAGUGUAAAGGCAUAAGGAAGCUUGAUUGUGAGACCUACAAGUCGAACAAAGACGAAAGUCGGCCUUAGUGAUCCGACGGUUCCGAGUGGAAGGGCCGUCGCUCAACGGAUAAAAGUUACUCUAGGGAUAACAGGCUGAUCUCCCCCAAGAGUUCACAUCGACGGGGAGGUUUGGCACCUCGAUGUCGGCUCAUCGCAUCCUGGGGCGGUAGUACGUCCCAAGGGUUGGGCUGUUCGCCCAUGAAAGCGGUACGCGAGCUGGGUUCAGAACGUCGUGAGACAGUUCGGUCCAUAUCCGGUGUAUGCGUAGGAAUAUUGAGAGGAUUUCUCCCUAGUACGAGAGGACCGGGAGGAACGCACCUCUGGUGUACCAGUUAUCGUGCCAACGGUAAACGCUGGGUAGCCAUGUGCGGAGUGGAUAACCGCUGAAAGCAUCUAAGUGGGAAGCCCACCUCAAGAUGAGUAUUCCCAUGGGGUAACCCAGUAAGGUCACGGGAAGAACACCCGUUGAUAGGCUCUACGUCGAAGUUCAGUAAUGGAUGCAGCGGAGGAGUACUAAUAGACCGAGGGCUUGACCAA